AGCCUACACACUGAUGUCAUAAGAAGAGACUAAUACCUCGGAGGUGUGAGGAUGAUGCUACUGAGAGUCUCCAGAAAAUUCAAGUGUUAUAUACUGAAUAAAAGCCAUGUUUGAAUGUGCAUUGAGAGUGCCUCACGUUCAGUGUGACCCAUGAGCAUGAGAGCAGCGCUGGACAAAGCAGGUUUUUCUCUCUAAGAGGCAUAUCUGGUAUGUAUCAGGGCUCUGUCCUGUGAAACGUGCACCUAGGCUUCCAGUCAGCCGAGGGGUGCUGCUGCGGGUGCUCCCAGCAUGUGAGGUCCACUCCUGCCUGGCCUGUGGCAUCCCUCAGCCCCGACGGUGGAGUGCUGUGGGAGCCUGUAUGGCCUGCUGAGAGAGUGCCAGCCACGGAGCGGACAUUGGAAGAAUCUACACUGU
rnacentral:lncRNA from 1 species